UACGUAGGGUGCAAGCGUUAAUCGGAAUCACUGGGCUUAAAGGGUGCGUAGGCGGUUCCGUAAGUGCCUUGUGAAAUCCCAUGGCUCAACCAUGGAAUUGCUCGGUAGACUGCGGAACUUGAGGUCGGUAGGGUCGCUGGAACGUCUAGGUGGAGCGGUGAAAUGCGUAGAUAUCUAGAGGAACGCCAAAGGUGAAGACAGGCGACUGGCCGAUUCUGACGCUGAGGCACGAAAGCGUGGGAGCGAACGGG
rnacentral:rRNA from 1 species